rnacentral:rRNA from 1 species
CUAACACAUGCAAGUCGAGGGGCAGCAUGGAGCUUGCUUGCAAGCUCUGAUGGCGACCGGCGAAUGGGUGAGUCACGCGUGUCCAACCUGCCCCGCGCCCGGGGAUAGCCCUUGGAAAUGAGGAUUAAGACCCGAUACGUGCGUUGUCCGCAUGGACGCCGCAUGAAACCAGGCACGGGAUGGGGACGCGUCGGAUUAGCUUGACGGCGGGGCAACGGCCCACCGUGGCGACGAUCCGCAGGGGUUCUGAGAGGAAGGUCCCCCACACUGGCACUGAGACACGGGCCAGACUCCUACGGGAGGCAGCAGUGAGGAAUAUUGGUCAAUGGCCGAGAGGCUGAACCAGCCAAGUAGCGUGCAGGAUGACGGCCCUACGGGUUGUAAACUGCUUUUGCGGGAGGAUAAAGUGCGCCACGCGCUGGCGCUUUGCAGGUAUCCCGUGAAUAAGGACCGGCUAAUUCCGUGCCAGCAGCCGCGGUAAUACGGAAGGUCCAGGCGUUAUCCGGAUUUAUUGGGUUUAAAGGGAGCGCAGGCGGGCUGUCAAGCGUGCCGUGAAAUCGCGGGGCUCAACCCCGUUGAGCGGUACGAACUGGCGGUCUUGGUUGCGGGAAGGGGAGGCGGAACUCGUGGUGUAGCGGUGAAAUGCAUAGAUAUCACGAAGAACUCCGAUCGCGAAGGCAGCCUCCCGGCCCGUGAACGACGCUCAUGCUCGAAGGCGCGGGUAUCAAACAGGAUUAGAUACCCUGGUAGUCCGCGCAGUAAACGAUGGACACUCGCGGUUUGGCCCUUGUGGCUGAGCCGCCCAGCGAAAGCGUUUAAGUGUCCCACCCUGGGGAGUACGCCGGCAACGGUGAAACUCAAAGGGAUUGACGGGGGCCCCGCACAAGCGGAGGAACAUGUGGUUUAAUUUCGAUGUAUACCGAGGAACCUUACCC